rnacentral:rRNA from 1 species
ACCUGCAGUCGAGCGGUAGCACAGAGAGCUUGCUCUCGGGUGACGAGCGGCGGACGGGUGAGUAAUGUCUGGGAAACUGCCUGAUGGAGGGGGAUAACUACUGGAAACGGUAGCUAAUACCGCAUAAUGUCGCAAGACCAAAGUGGGGGACCUUCGGGCCUCAUGCCAUCAGAUGUGCCCAGAUGGGAUUAGCUAGUAGGUGGGGUAACGGCUCACCUAGGCGACGAUCCCUAGCUGGUCUGAGAGGAUGACCAGCCACACUGGAACUGAGACACGGUCCAGACUCCUACGGGAGGCAGCAGUGGGGAAUAUUGCACAAUGGGCGCAAGCCUGAUGCAGCCAUGCCGCGUGUGUGAAGAAGGCCUUCGGGUUGUAAAGCACUUUCAGCGGGGAGGAAGGCGGUAAGGUUAAUAACCUUGUCGAUUGACGUUACCCGCAGAAGAAGCACCGGCUAACUCCGUGCCAGCAGCCGCGGUAAUACGGAGGGUGCAAGCGUUAAUCGGAAUUACUGGGCGUAAAGCGCACGCAGGCGGUCUGUCAAGUCGGAUGUGAAAUCCCCGGGCUCAACCUGGGAACUGCAUUCGAAACUGGCAGGCUAGAGUCUUGUAGAGGGGGGUAGAAUUCCAGGUGUAGCGGUGAAAUGCGUAGAGAUCUGGAGGAAUACCGGUGGCGAAGGCGGCCCCCUGGACAAAGACUGACGCUCAGGUGCGAAAGCGUGGGGAGCAAACAGGAUUAGAUACCCUGGUAGUCCACGCCGUAAACGAUGUCGAUUUGGAGGUUGUGCCCUUGAGGCGUGGCUUCCGGAGCUAACGCGUUAAAUCGACCGCCUGGGGAGUACGGCCGCAAGGUUAAAACUCAAAUGAAUUGACGGGGGCCCGCACAAGCGGUGGAGCAUGUGGUUUAAUUCGAUGCAACGCGAAGAACCUUACCUGGUCUUGACUU